UACGGAGGGGGCGAGCGUUAUUCGGAAUUAUUGGGCGUAAAGGGCGCGUAGGCGGCUCGAUAAGUCAAAGGUGAAAUCCCUCGGCUCAACUGAGGAACUGCCUUUGAUACUGUAGAGCUUGAGUCCGGGGAGGGGGUAGCGGAAUUCCCAGUGUAGCGGUGAAAUGCGUAGAUAUUGGGAGGAACACCAGUGGCGAAGGCGGCUACCUGGACCGGAACUGACGCUGAUGCGCGAAAGCGUGGGUAGCAAACAGG
rnacentral:rRNA from 1 species